AGGUCCCAAGGGUUGGGCUGUUCGCCCAUUAAAGCGGUACGUGAGCUGGGUUCAGACCGUCGUGAGACAGGUCGGUCUCUAUCCGCUGUGGGCGCAAGGAGGUUGAGAGGAGCUGCCCCUAGUACGAGAGGACCGGGGUGGACGCAGCGCUGGUGUGCCGGUUGUCACGCCCGUGGCAGCGCCGGGUAGCCACCUGCGGAGCAGAUAACCGCUGAAAGCAUCUAAGCGGGAAGCUGGCCUCAAGAUGAGCCUCCUCACUGGGCGACCAGGUAAGACCGCUCGCAGACGACGAGUUGAAUAGGCCGGAGGUGUACGCCUGGCGACAGGUUGAGCCAACCGGUACUAAUGGUCGAGGGCUUAUCCAG
rnacentral:rRNA from 1 species